rnacentral:rRNA from 1 species
GAUGCACAGGUGCUGCAUGGCUGUCGUCAGCUCGUGUGUGAGAUGUUGGGUUAAGUCCCGCAACGAGCGCAACCCUCGCCUUUAGUUGCCAGCACUUCGGGUGGGCACUCUAGAGGAACUGCCGGUGACAAGCCGGAGGAAGGUGGGGAUGACGUCAAGUCCUCAUGGCCCUUAUGGGCUGGGCUACACACGUGCUACAAUGGCGGUGACAGAGGGAAAGCCAGGUCGUGAGGCCGAGCCGAUCCCAAAAAGCCGUCUCAGUUCAGAUCGUACCCUGCAACUCGGGUACGUGAAGGUGGAAUCGCUAGUAAUCGCGGAUCAGCAUGCCGCGGUGAAUACGUUCCCGGGCCUUGUACACACCGCCCGUCACACCAUGGGAGUUGGUUCUACCUUAAGUGGCUGUGCUAACCGCAAGGAGGCAGGUCACCACGGUAGGGUCAGCGACUGGGGUGAAGUCGUAACAAGGUAACC